GACGAACGCUGGCGGCGUGCUUUACACAUGCAAGUCGAACGGUGAAGGUGGAGCUUGCUCCGCCGGAUCAGUGGCGAACGGGUGAGUAACACGUGGGCAGCCUGCCCCUAACUUUGGGAUAACUACUCGAAAGAGUAGCUAAUACCGGAUAUGAAGUCUGUAGGCAUCUACGGAUUUGGAAGGUUUUUCGGUUAGGGAUGGGCCCGCGGCCUAUCAGCUUGUUGGUGAGGUAGUGGCUCACCAAGGCGACGACGGGUAGCCGGCCUGAGAGGGCGACCGGCCACACUGGGACUGAGACACGGCCCAGACUCCUACGGGAGGCAGCAGUGGGGAAUAUUGCGCAAUGGGCGAAAGCCUGACGCAGCAACGCCGCGUGCGGGAUGAAGGCCUUCGGGUUGUAAACCGCUUUCAGCAGGGAAGAAGCGAAAGUGACGGUACCUGCAGAAGAAGCACCGGCUAACUACGUGCCAGCAGCCGCGGUAA
rnacentral:rRNA from 1 species